rnacentral:lncRNA from 1 species
CCAUGGCAUGGGUUCAAUCCCUGGCCUGGGAAUUCCAUUGAUCAGACUGGGGCCCUCCUGUGGAACUUUCUUUUACCCUCCAAAGUUUCUGGCACCCAGAUCUGGACACCAACCUAACUAAAGUGAUGAGUGAAAGAGUUGUCAGAAUUUCUGAUUUCCACAUGUUGAGAGGCUACUUAAGCCCUUGGUGGUUGUUGGCUAUUGUGGAGAUAAUAUGUGGCUGAUAUGAAAUUAUCUGCUGCAAGUUACAUGCAGAAAAUCCUUUCUUCUUCUCAUGUACAUUAUGACCUGGAACUUGAAGGAGCCGCUCUUCUCUUUUUUUCGGCUGCACCAUGGCAUAUGGAAGUUCCCAGACCAAGGUUCAGAUCUGAGCCACAGUUGCAACCUGCGCCACAGCGGCAGCAAUGCCAGAUCCUUAACCCACUCUGCCCCGCAGGGGGAUCGAACCUGCAUCCCAGAGCUUUAGAGAUGCUGGAGGUCCCGUUGCACCACGGUGAGAACUCCUCCAGGCCCUUCUGAAGCACUGUGGAGGAUGGACUCCCAUCCUCUCUCACAGCCCAUUCCAUCACUGGUCAGUCCGGACCAUAAGAAAAUUCCUCAACCUACCUCCCUGAAACCUAUAUCCACAGAUCCUGGUCCUGUCUUCUGGAUGGUGCUACAGCACUUCCACCCCUGUGAUCUUAAUCAUUCUCCCCUGAACAAGUUGAGACUUCUCAAUGUCCUUCUAGAAUGUAGAUGCCACACUCUGGGUCCAGCUUGACAAUCUGAGGGCAGAGGGAACCCAAGCUAGGUGCUGGGCAUUCAGUUCACACAGCCUCAGAUGGAAUUUGGCUUUUUGGCAACUGCAACACACAGGUGACUCAAUUAAUUUAGACUCGACUUGAUUUUUCUCUUGAGAACCCUGGUUCACUGCUCUUGGUUUCAGCAGUUAUCACCACCCAAUAUCACAUCAUAUCUCUGAGCUUGCCCAAGCAUGAGUCUCCACCCACUAGAAUGCAAGCAUCCUGAAGGCAGCAAUUUUGUCUUGUUCUGAAUCCCCAACACCUAGAGCAAGGCCGAGCCCAGGUUGGACAUUCAAUAAACACAUGCUGAAUAAAUGGAUUCAGCAUAUCUGUAAUAGAGAAGCCAUAUCUCUCUUCUCCUGUACUUGUGUAAUUUAUUUAUAGUUCACACCCAGUUUCCUAACAAGAGGGAUUUGAGGUGACUUGCACUGCAGAGGAUUUUUUAACAUCAGAGCACACUUGGUUCUAGCUGGAAUUUACAUUUUAUUUUAUUUUUAUUUAUUUAUUUGCUUUUUAGGGCCGCACCUAUGGCAUAUGGAGGUUCCCAGGCUAGGGGUUGAAUUGGGGCUGCAGCCACUUGUCUACACCACAGCCACAGCAAAACAGGAUCCGAGCCACGUCUGUGACCUAUACCACAGCUCAUAGCAAUGCCAGAUCCUUAACCCACUGAGCGAGGCCAGGGAUUGAACCUGCAUCCUCAUGUAUUCUAGUCGGGUUCAUUAACUGAUAAGCCACAAAGGGAACUCUUGGAAUUUACAUUUUAUAAAAUUUACAUCAUAUGUUACAGCCUGAUUAGAUAUUAGAUGAUUAGAUAUACAUCAUAUGUUAUAUCUAAUUCCUAGCUCUCCUAACCAACAUACUGACUCUGCCUCUCAGUGUCCAGCCAUUUGUUCAAGGAUGACCCUCCAGGAGCUCUCUUGUGGCACAGCAGGUUAAGGAUCCGGCAUUGUCAACUGCUAUGGCUUCAAUCCCUAGCCUGGGAACUUCCAGAUACCACAGCCAUGGCCAAAAAAAUAAAAAAAGAAUGACUCUCUACAGCAGCCACACUGGUCCUGCUAUUCCUCAAACACUCUCAGAGGCUCUAGUCCCAGGAUCUUUGCUUUGGCUGUUUCCUCUGCUGGUACCCACCCUUCCCCCCUCCCCACCCCAUCCCCAGAUAGUUACAUCACCAGAUCCUCAUCUUCAAGUCCCUGGUCAAAUGCUUCUUUCUCAGAGAGGCUGACCCUGGUCAUCCUAUUUAAAACUGCACUACGGCCCCCUCUCCAGUACUAUCCUCCUAGCUCAGCUCCAUAUUUUUGUUUGGUCCAUCAUGUUCAUCACCUUUUAACGAGCUUUAUAACUUAGCUUAUUACUGUCUGCCCUACAAGUCCUGCCCCUGGCUAUACAAGGAAAGGAAUUUUUGCCUUUUUGUUCACUGAUGAAGCCCAAGUACACAGAACAAUGCCUGGCACAUAAUGGACACGCAAUAAAUAUUUGUGGAAUGAAUGAAUGGACAACUGCUCUGGACCCAGGAAUGUAUGUGACACCAAGACAAAUAACACACAAAGGUGCCAGCUGAUCACAUGCCACCCAUGUUAUCGCCCAAGACACUGGUGACAAUAUGUAAUGGGACAGACACCCUCCUCCAAAAAAACACUACCAAUUUAUUAAUCGACUCCCUCAAUGUAUCAUUUUUCAAUCAGUAAAACAAAGUGAAACAAAUAGUAACCCUAUUUCAAAAAAUAUUCUUUCGAAUGGCAUUGGAAAUGCUCAUCUCACAGACAACCAGGUCAGUGGGGGAUAUAGGAAGGCAUGUAGUCAGCAAUAUGGCCUGUGGUCCCAAUUAUAGGAAAACAGCUAUCUACACAGAAACAAGACUGGAAAGAAAUAUACCAAAAUGUUAAUGGUGAUUAUUUCUGAGUUGUGGGAUCAUGGUU